rnacentral:rRNA from 1 species
GACGAACGCUGGCGGCGUGCUUAACACAUGCAAGUCGAACGGAAAGGCCCUGCUUUUGUGGGGUGCUCGAGUGGCGAACGGGUGAGUAACACGUGAGUAACCUGCCCUUGACUUUGGGAUAACUUCAGGAAACUGGGGCUAAUACCGGAUAGGAGCUCCUGCUGCAUGGUGGUGGUUGGAAAGUUUCGGCGGUUGGGGAUGGACUCGCGGCUUAUCAGCUUGUUGGUGGGGUAGUGGCUUACCAAGGCUUUGACGGGUAGCCCGCCUGAGAGGGUGGACGGCCACAUGGGGACUGAGAGACGGACCAGACUGCUACGGGAGGCAGCAGUGGGGAAUAUUGCACAAUGGGCGGAAGCCUGAUGCAGCAACGCCGGGUGCGGGAUGACCGCCUUCGGGGGGUAAACCGCUUUCGCCUGUGACGAAGCGGGAGUGACGGUAAUGGGUAAAGAAGCACCGGCUAACUACGUG